GUAAAGCUGUGACUUAUCACACAUAUAAAUCCUGGGCUUGCACCUUUCAGAGUUGGUUAUUGGUCUUUGUGAAAUGUAUGGUGUGGAGGCUCCACAUUAAUGCACCUUUCCUUCUCGUCACUUCAGGCGGAAAAAUCCAUUCCUGACUGCAGUGGUGAAGUGGAUGCAUGGAAUCCCCAGCAAGGUCCUGGCAGGCAAGUCCUUGUUGGCCCCAAUAAAUCAAUGAUGGUGGCGGGAGACUCACUCCCUCCACGGGCUCCGCAUAAGCCAGAGCACGCAGUGGCAGACAAAGGAGGGUGAAACCAGCAUGUGUGUGCCUCUCAUAAAUGCUUUCCCUAUGUUCAUAAAUUGUCAUUUAAUUUUAAUAACAACCAAUUAGAAGAUGAUUGUGAAACCAUUAAACAGAUGAAUAAACUGAGGCUACCAGAGAUUAUGUCUUUCCCCAGGCUAUACUGCUGGUGGGUAAUCAAGCCAGGAUUACUACCCAGAUUUGUCCGACUGCAAUACUCAUAUUCUU
rnacentral:lncRNA from 10 species